UAUAUUUAAUUAGCUUUGGUGUCUACUAAACACAUUGGCACUGCAGCUCCUCUGGACAAAGGAUCGUGCCCCCCCCACCCCCCCCGCCCAGGCCACUCUAGGUCUCGGGGAGCUGGCGUUUGCUGGGGCUGCUCGUGAGAUGAUGCUGCAAAGGACUUGCAGCCACUUGGGGCGCGUGGGCGCUGGCGUUCCUCACUGCGCAUUUCCUGCUCGGAGAUGAGACCAGCACCAAGUCAUGCGGGGUGCGACCCACAGAUGACUCGUGGAGGCAUUUUACGUUUCCAUCACCUUAUAAACUCAUGGCUCCCAACUUAGCUGCGUGUUCGCAUCGCCCGGGAGAUUUUCAAAGGCUCAGCGCCCUGCUGCAGGCCCCACUGCGCCAGUGUUUCUGAGGCGGGUGCUGGUGUCGGUAUUGUUCUAACGCGCCUCCAAUUUUGAUGCAACUCUAGCUUGUUAUCACCAGCGAUGAAAAGCGGGCCUCCUGGCCGAUGUGGUUCCUUUGGGCCGGGCUGGGACACGGGAUCCUCUGGGCAGAGGCAGGCACGGACAAAUGGCCCCUCUCUCCUCUCAACACCUAGGACCUGUGCACGGGCCGGGACUCCGCUGCAACUCGGGAAGGUGGAGAGGACCGAUCUGGUGGACGGAAAAGCUGCUGAGCUAUGGAGACGUGUCCUGGGUUCCACCCCUCACACCUGCGUUUAUCGACAGGGAUCUGCAUCUACUGCACAAGCGUCAUGGAUGUCAGUUCUGGGCUUGGCAAAGGGAUGGGUAUCGUAGAGUCAACCAAUGUUGCAGAUGCAAAGAUACGCGAGAUAGUGGUCUCUGCUCCCACCUGUUUACUCUCUGCUGUAGCCACCGGGCCCCAGGUGGCCACGUUGGAAGGCCUUGGUGCUACCUGGUGGACUGAAGAUCACUGGAGUAUUAUAUCACCACCACAACAGUAGAGUCCAUGGAGCUAAAAUGUGCGCCUGUGCUGGUGGCAAUGUUUAAAGGUAAACACACAGCAACGGAGUGACCCCUGAGGGUAAACAUCCGAGGCCACAGCGCGCUGCGCCCUGUGUGAGAAAGGCCAAGAAUCGCUGCGAUACACGGUAUCAUUGGCUACAUGUGAACGAUGCUGAUUUUGCACCGAAAAAGAGCUUUCUCUGAAAUUUUAUUGCUUAUCUUGGAGCCACACUAAGAAUUGUAUAUUAAAGGGUGAAAAUAAUUUGCUGAAAUCUCACUUCUUCUCCU